rnacentral:rRNA from 1 species
UGGGGAAUUUUGGACAAUGGGGGAAACCCUGAUCCAGCCAUCCCGCGUGUGCGAUGAAGGCCUUCGGGUUGUAAAGCACUUUUGGCAGGAAAGAAACGUCGCGGGUUAAUACCCCGCGAAACUGACGGUACCUGCAGAAUAAGCACCGGCUAACUACGUGCCAGCAGCCGCGGUAAUACGUAGGGUGCAAGCGUUAAUCGGAAUUACUGGGCGUAAAGCGUGCGCAGGCGGUUCGGAAAGAAAGAUGUGAAAUCCCAGAGCUUAACUUUGGAACUGCAUUUUUAACUACCGGGCUAGAGUGUGUCAGAGGGAGGUGGAAUUCCGCGUGUAGCAGUGAAAUGCGUAGAUAUGCGGAGGAACACCGAUGGCGAAGGCAGCCUCCUGGGAUAACACUGACGCUCAUGCACGAAGGCGUGGGGAGCAAACAGGAUUAGAUACCCUGGUAGUCCACGCCCUAAACGAUGUCAACUAGCUGUUGGGGCCUUCGGGCCUUGGUAGCGCAGCUAACGCGUGAAGUUGACCGCCUGGGGAGUACGGUCGCAAGAUUAAAACUCAAAUGAAUUGACGGGGUCGAU